rnacentral:rRNA from 1 species
GGAUGGGAAAGUCAGAUGUGAAAUUUCGGAGCUCAACUUCGAAGCUGCAUUUGAAACUAUCUAUCUGGAGGAUAGGCGGAGAAAACGGAAUUCCACGUGUAGCGGUGAAAUGCGUAGAGAUGUGGAAGAACACCUGUGGCGAAAGCGGUUUUCUAGCUUACGCCUGACGCUGAGGCGCGAAAGCAAGGGGAGCAAACAGGAUUAGAUACCCUGGUAGUCCUUGCUGUAAACGAUGUAUACUUGAUGUAGUCGGACUUAAUCCUGACUGUGUCGAAGCUAACGCGUUAAGUAUACCGCCUGGGGAGUACGCUCGCAAGGGUAAAACUCAAAGGAAUUGACGGGGACCCGCACAAGCGGUGGAUGAUGUGGAUUAAUUCGAUGCAACGCGAAAAACCUUACCUACCCUUGACAUGUACGGAAGCCACGAGAGAUCGAGGUGUGGCUCGAAAGAGAGCCGUAACACAGGUGCUGCAUGGCUGUCGUCAGCUCGUGUCGUGAGAUGUUGGGUUAAGUCCCGCAACGAGCGCAACCCUUGUCAUUAGUUGCCAUCAUUUAGUUGGGCACUUUAAUGGGACUGCCGGUGACAAACCGGAGGAAGGUGGGGAUGACGUCAAGUCCUCAUGGCCCUUAUGGCCAGGGCUUCACACGUAAUACAAUGGUCGGUACAGAGAGUUGCCAACCCGCGAGGGGGAGCCAAUCUCAGAAAGCCGAUCGUAGUCCGGAUUGUAGUCUGCAACUCGACUACAUGAAGUCGGAAUCGCUAGUAAUCGCGGAUCA